GAUGAACGCUGGCGGCGUGCCUAAUACAUGCAAGUCGAGCGAACGGACGAGAAGCUUGCUUCUCUGAUGUUAGCGGCGGACGGGUGAGUAACACGUGGAUAACCUACCUAUAAGACUGGGAUAACUUCGGGAAACCGGAGCUAAUACCGGAUAAUAUUUUGAACCGCAUGGUUCAAAAGUAAAAGACGGUCUUGCUGGCACUUAUAGAUGGAUCCGCGCUGCAUUAGCUAGUUGGUAAGGUAACGGCUUACCAAGGCAACGAUGCAUAGCCGACCUGAGAGGGGGAUCGGCCACACUGGAACUGAGACACGGUCCAGACUCCUACGGGAGGCAGCAGUAGCGAAUCUUCCGCAAUGGGCGAAAGCCUGACGGAGCAACGCCGCGUGAGUGAUGAAGGUCUUCGGAUCGUAAAACUCUGUUAUUAGGGAAGAACAUAUGUGUAAGUAACUGUGCACAUCUUGACGGUACCUAAUCAGAAAGCCACGGCUAACUACGUG
rnacentral:rRNA from 1 species